rnacentral:lncRNA from 1 species
AGUAGACUUCAAUCCGUACCAAACGGUUAAAGAGUUUCUCCAUGACGUGGAUCUUAUUUGGCUGAAAGCCCUGGAGUAUCCAGAUAAACAACCUUCAGGUACAUAUGGUACACUCUAUGUACAGCACCACCCAUCACAGGUGUGAAGGAUAAACUAAGUAUUUGUAAGCCGUUUGCAAUCUGACUGAUGAGAUGUGAAUGUUUUUCUUUGGACUUCCUCCAGAUCAUCAGAUCCGCCACAGAGUCUGUGCUCUGAAAGACGCUGUACAUACUAUGAUCAAAGAUGAGCUGGAUGAAGACUGAGAAAAUGGGUGAGGAGAUCAAAGAAUCCUGCAGAUCAAGAGGCUGCCCCACUGCUCAGUUCUCUCCCUUUUUCCAUCACGUCCUCCCCAAACCCCCCAAAUCUCCUGCCAAGGCUAAGCUCAGUGAUAUGAGCCCUCACAAUGAGCCACUCGGAACCACAGUUCCAGUCAAUUUCAUCACAAGUUUUUCUCCCAGGGUCAACACCUAAAGACAGGUAACGUGUCGUUGGCUGCAAAGCACAAGACUGAGAAGACGUUUUUUAUUAUUUUCUUGCAGUUCAGCAGAAAAAGCGUCUGAAGAAUCGCUGGUUGCAUGGAAUUGUUUCAACUAGGAUGAAGUCAAGAAAUGAUAGGUGAUGAUGGGCUCUGAAUGAAGAAGAUGGAGAUGAGGAUGAAACAGAGGUAGGUGACGGACCUAAGGAUGGAAGAAGACCCGCCGCAACACACAAGGGUUUCCUUUGGGAAAUCAAGGAUGAAAACACUAAUAGCCACAAACAGAGAAAAGUAGAUAAGCAGAGCUGUGACUUUCUUCACUCUGUGACUCUGAUGUUGUCAGACAGUGAGACACAAAACAAACAGGCUGCAGGACUGAGAGAAAACAACCAAGUCAUCAAAAUCAUAGAAUAGAUGGAACAGCAGCACAAUCCAGCUGAACUAACAGAUGUGGAAUCCAUGGAGAUCUUAGCCCAGGUAGAGGAGGACAGAGUAACAGGUAGUCCAGCACUGUCAAAUUUGGAAAGAUAUUGUGUAUUAAUGCAUGUUAUUAUCCCAAUUGUAUAUGAGGGUAUAGUUCCUGUCAUAUUAUAGUUUGUUUUUUUUUAAAAAAAAAACUAAACAAACAAUAUUUAAUGAUAAUAAUUUCGUUUUAGGAGGC